rnacentral:lncRNA from 1 species
UUAUUUCUGGUGAUAUAUAGCAUAGUCGGUCUAUAUGGUUCAGUAUUUCAUUAUGUUAAAAUAUUCAAGGAUUUCUGAAUUUUCGUAAAUAGAAGAUUUUCUACCCCUCGUGGUAGCGUUUUUAAAAGAUAAAAGUAUCCGUGUAGGGAACAGUUUUCAAAAGAUUUUCUGUGGAAUUAUGUUUAAACAUUGAAUGUAAAUCUGUGAUGUGAAUGGUGAAUGUAUGAAUGUAUAGUUAUCUUUAUAUUCAUUUAGUUGUGGUUGUAUCCUGUUUGUACUUUUGUACUUGUGCGACGCCGUGCAAAUAUAGGGGAGACUCUGUCCGUGUGAACAGUGGAUUUUCUGUAUUUGUGGCGGAU